rnacentral:rRNA from 1 species
GCCUAAAGCGUCCGUAGCCUGCUUUGUAAGUUUUCGGUUAAAUCCAUACGCUCAACGUAUGGGCUGCCGGAAAUACUGCAAAGCUAGGGAGUGGGAGAGGUAGACGGUACUCGGGAGGAAGGGGUAAAAUCCUUUGAUCUCUCGAUGACCACCUGUGGCGAAGGCGGUCUACCAGAACACGUCCGACGGUGAGGGAUGAAAGCUGGGGGAGCAAACCGGAUUAGAUACCCGGGUAGUCCCAGCUGUAAACUAUGCAAACUCAGUGAUGCAUUGGCUUGAUGCCAAUGCAGUGUUGCAGGGAAGCCGUUAAGUUUGCCGCCUGGGAAGUACGUACGCAAGUAUGAAACUUAAAGGAAUUGGCGGGGGAGCACCACAAGGGGUGAAGCCUGCGGUUCAAUUGGAGUCAACGCCAGAAAUCUUACCCGGAGAGACAGCAGAAUGAAGGUCAAGCUGAAGACUUUACCAGACAAGCUGAGAGGUGGUGCAUGGCCGUCGCCAGCUCGUGCCGUGAGAUGUCCUGUUAAGUCAGGUAACGAGCGAGAUCCCUGCCUCUAGUUGCCACCAUUACUCUCAGGAGUAGUGGGGCGAAUUAGCGGGACCGCCGCAGUUAAUGCGGAGGAAGGAAGGGGCCACGGCAGGUCAGUAUGCCCCGAA